GAUGAACGCUAGCGGCAGGCCUAAUACAUGCAAGUCGAGCGGUAAGGUCUCUUCGGAGAUACACGAGCGGCGGACGGGUGAGUAACGCGUAUGCAACCUACCUUGUAGAUGGGGAUAGCCUGGAGAAAUUCAGAUUAAUACCUUAUAGUAUCAUUGGAUCACAUGGUUCGAUGAUUAAACGCUCCGGCGCUACAAGAUGGGCAUGCGUGACAUUAGAUAGUUGGUGAGGUAACGGCUCACCAAGUCGACGAUGUCUAGCUGGUCUGAGAGGAUGAUCAGCCACACUGGGACUGAGACACGGCCCAG
rnacentral:rRNA from 1 species